rnacentral:lncRNA from 1 species
CUCUUCUGUUCCUGCAAACCCCAGAGAACAUGCUGUAUGAGUGUGAUGGAAAUAAUUUCACUUUCUCUGACUUAUGAUUAGUGAAGAGGAUUUCAGGCUGGCAUCAAGUUACAGAGAUGGGGCCUGGAUGUGUUGCUUAGGCUGUGUGAAACACCUGGUCUUAAGCGAUCCUCUCACCCUGGCCUCCCAAAGCAUUGGGAUUACAGGGAGAAAAGAAUGGGAACUGUGAGGAAAAGAAUGACAUGAACAAUGGGAAGACCAAGGUCCCAGCACAAGUAGUAGAUGCUGAGGAAAGAAGAAGUAUGUUGUGGAGUAAGUGAGUGGGCCUGAGUUGAGAAGAUCCUGGCCUUGGAUUUUAAAACUGUCAGGAAUUGCAUAAAUUCGCUAGAAUCAGAAGUCAGUUGUCCUGAUCUCAGAACAAUUUGGUGUGUACAAAGUCCAAGGUUUGAAAACUCAUCAAGAAGUCAGCAUCCUGCAAGAAUCAGCCACCCAUGCCACACUUUCUAUAGUAACUUCUGUUCUGCAUCAGACUACAUCACUCUGGCUUUCUGGGAUCACUUUUAUAAUACAAAGAAUGACUGCAAUAUAAGCUUUGAAAGACUGACUCACUAAGGAAACAAGACAGGUUUGGAAAAAUGGAUCCCUUGCCAUUGACGCACUCUGGAGAACUCUUUAAAAAAUGGUAAUCUGAGAAAUUUAAUUGCCACGUAACUGUUCACAUAAAACUGAUACUAUCAGUAAGUGGACCAAAUUAAAUAUUCUGUGAAAACGUUGCAUUUCACAACCAGGUGUUUUGAUUUUUUGAAAUGAAAGAAAAAAAAAGGAAGUCAGCUUUUAGCUAUGUGGUGCAGUUGAUCUUCUCUGGAAAGUUAUUCUGCAGAUCUACCAAAUGAAUUAAAGAUGAGAAGACAAAUGUAGGAGAUAAAAAGGCAAAGAAGAGAUGUUUAUCUGCUGUGUACCACUUUUGUGAUGGUGGAUCCCUUCAUCUUUCUGUGCCUCAUUUUUUUCUUAUUUCUACAUAGAGGGCACUAUUCCAGGCCAGUGCUCUGGGAGGAAUUACCCAGAAUCCCUGUAGAAGCCACUACUGAUGUCAGCUACAAGAGGAAGGGAACCCAAGUGGACUUCAGCCAGAACAAAGCUCUGUCACAUGUUGGAAUUUUACUGAACUUGAACAAAUUAUUCUUCAGAAAAAGUAUUUUAAAGUCAAAAGACUCCUAGAUGAUUUCUAGGUCUUUUGCAGCAUUAACUUCCUUUGAAUCAAUGCCUUCAAUGAUUAUUUAAAAGAAAAGAAAGAAAAAAUCAGAAAGUAAAGAAAUGGAUUUAGCUAGUAACCUUUAAAGAAAGCCCUCUUUCAUUCAUUUUUCUUCAAAGAUUUAUGUGAUUUUUUUCUUAUCUUGAUGUAUAAUAAUAAGAAUUAGCUGCAAAAAGCUACAAGAAAGGUUGCAUAAGUGCAUACAUUCUUUUCGAGUUCUGCUUCCUGUGGUAGUUCUUCACUUUUAAUGAUGAGUUGCUGAAGCAGGCACUCAUUCUUUUAUUGCAUCAUUUAUUCUUGUUAUCUGGGGAAGUAACAAUGACAAGCUUUCCUAAGUAACAGCCCAACUCUUAUUUGUGGCCCCUUUUCCUAUGUCAAUAUUAGGAUCAUUCUAUCAACGAAGAGGUCCUAUUACCUAGGAAACCAUGAAAGGUAAGACCUAUGAUCACAGGUGCUUACAUGCAUGCAAAUGUAAAAGGAAUACUUAAACCCUCACCUAACUUCUUUGGAAGUUUCAGUACACAGUUUUUGUUGAUAGGCAAUUAAGGUGCGUGUGUGAGUGUAGUAUGUGUUUUUGUAAGAAAAAAAGUAGAGGAAAUGGGAGAUAAUUUAGUGUGCUGGAAAGUUAUAGAAUUUGAUAUCUUGUUUUGCAUAGAUGAUGCAUUGUAGGAGUGACAUUAUUGUGAAACUUUGUUCAGUCGGUUUUCCUUCAAGCGAUUUUGGUGCAGUUUUUCCAAUCCAGUGUUAAGGGCAUGACGAUGUAUUUUUCACAAGCUUGUCUAAGAGGAAACUCUGACAGAUUAUGAUGAGGAAAACUAAAUCCACUCAUGUCAUGUAAACACAUAGAAGACUUCUCAGUGGGGUCUCUGCCUUGUACCUCAGAUGCCAAGGGGGAGUUUGAGAUUUGUCAAGUUGUUGACAACUGCCUUAGUCCAUUUUGUGCUGCCAUAACAGAAUGACACGGAUGUGGUAAUUUAUAAUGAACAGAAAUUUACUUCUUGAGGCUGGGAAAUCCAAGGUUGAGGUGCCAGCAUCUGGCAAGGGCUUUCUUAUUGUGUCAUCAUAUGGUGGAAGGCAGAAUGUCAAGAGAGAAGGAGGAAACCAAUUUUACCCUUUUAUAAAGGCACCCAUUCCACAUGUAAGGGUGAAGCCCUCAUGGCCUGCCACCUUUUAAAGACUCCACCUCUUGAUACUGUCACAAUAGCAACUGCAUUUCAGCAUGAGUUCUGGAAGGGACAGUUUCCAAACCAGAGGAGCAAUUGCCUAUCAGAGGUUGCAAGAAAGAGGUAUUUUACUAUUAUUUGAGCUACCAUUUUUAGCUUUAUCCAUACUUUUAGAAAUAGGUGUUUUAUUGAACUCCAAUUAUCCAGUUUGAGAAUGUCAUAAUUUUCUAUUAGGAGUCUGGCUGAUCUAGUCAUUAAAAAAGACACAUAAUAAAUGUAUAAGCAUGUUUUUAAAUGGACAGUUUAUAAGUUAGUUAAUAAUAUUAGUGUUAAUUACUGUUACCACUAAAUAAAUAAACCACUACAUUUUAUGUUCUUUCAACAAUCUGAAAAAAAUAUUUUGUAAAAAAUUACUGUAAUGCAAAAUUUGGCUUAGUUAGCAACAGAGAGGGUAAAUAUCUGCUUUAAAGAUCACAAUGUCUGAUGGCUAUGAAACAGAUGAGAAGUUUUGAGAAGAUGACAUCAAUAUGGUGUUGAUUGGUUUCAUGUGGCUUUGAGCUUUUCUGCCACUGGGAAGAUCACUACUGUACAUAGUUUACAUAUGAUUCAUGUGUGAUGCCAGAUUGCAGCUUCCUUCUUGCUGUAUCUUAAGUGUACUUGGUAUUCUGAUUCAAGAGUGAGAUCUUGAAGCUUUGGCAAAUAGAAUUGCCUAAUUUUCAUUUGUCCACUAAGCAAUGCAUGCAGUUAAAAAAAUGAAAACAAUACCAAACCUCCUUCUUUUGCAGUGAAGGAGCCCAAAACAAGUUACUCUCUUUCCGUCUCUCUCUUUAACUUAGAAUAUUGGUUAUUUUGUAUUCUCACACAUGUAAAAUUCCUUUCCUUUAAUGCAUAUGUUCUCAAUAAAAAAGAAUUUUCCACUGAAUUUCCAGGAAGACUCAACAUAAUUUAAAGAUGGCACCUUACAAAAAGAACUCUCAAUAGACAAGAAGAGGAGGCAGUAAUAAACAAUUAUUUUCAAGACAGAGUUACCUAAAAUCUUUCCUUGGUUUCUUACCGGCUACAGGACACUUUUCAAACUCUUUGGUUUCACUUUGACAAACUUGCUUCUUGCAAUUCUCCUAAGGUUGUGUGUAUACAACCACGUGGGAUGUGGUGAAUUUAGUCGGCCACAAUGUAAUAGUCUCUUCUCUAUACAUAAAAUUAGAUUACUAAAAUCCCUAUGUAAGAAACUUACAAUCCCGCCAGGGAAAAUUAGGAUUGGGGAAAUGAGAUAAUUAGUUAAUCUCUCAAAAAUCUGAUGAACAUAGUUUAUGUUUUCUAAAAUAGAGCCAUGAAAACAGCCCACCAAAUAAUGAGAAUGUCAAUAUCUCACACGUUCCUUCAUUUGGUAAUUAAUAGCAUGGAAUGGAUAUAUAUUAAUUUAUCAUUCUUUGAUCUCCAGUGACUUUUCAGUAUCUCUGUUCUCCUUUUUCCAUAUAUUAAAUACAGAACUUAUACAUUUGUUUUGUUUGAUGGUGUUAAUCUACAGUGCAGAAGAGUCCCUGUGUUUGUCCACUGUCUAAUUUUCAAAGCCUCUCUGAUUUUAUGAUUUUAAUUUACCUUUUAUCAGUGUGGUUUCACCGCAUUUCUGCAGACAUUCAUGUGGAUGCCUGAGCUGAAAAACUAACCUCACGUAGUCUUUAUUUCUCAACUUGCAUUCCCCAGUGCAGGGCCCAGUGGUGCCAAUUCUGAACAUAGUAAAUUUACAAGAAAGCCCUUCCUCACCUAUAACUUCAGGGAUGUUUUCACCCAUAAACCAAAACACUCAAUUGCAAGGUUUGGGGAUAAUCUUCUCCCAGCUCUCUUUCUCUCUCCUACAGUUUCAUUGCAUUGCCUCAUCUCUCUUUUAUCUUUUCCCUUAUGAGUUAUUUCAGCUUCCUUUUCUUAACUUCUAGUUUCCUAUUUCUCUAAUAAUCUAAGUCAGGGAGAAGUGUAAAUUCAUGUGCAUGGAAACUAAAAUUUCCCCGAGGAUAUAAUGUACAGAGUAAAUCCAUCUUCACUAGAAUUUUAGAACUUGAGAUCGGGCAUGUGUGAUUAUUCUACACAUUUUUAAUGGGUCUCUGUGCUUUCACAUGUGAUUUUGCCUCUUCCAAAAACAGUCUUUGUGUUCUUCACCAUCUGGGAAAUGUGUUUUCAUCCAUGUAAACCCAAAUCAAAUGCCAUUUCCUUUAUGGAAAAUUAUCCAGCUUCAUCAGGCAGAAUAAUUAGCUCCUCUGUAGGCAAAUAGCUCCUUGGUCUAUUUUUGCCAAAGCAAGAACAUCUUAUUUUCCAUACCUACUAUGUGCUUGGCAUUGUAUCAGUACACAUUUCUAUUAGUGCAUUCUAGCACUACAUAUUUUCAGGCCUAUCUUAUGUGAUUGGCUUUGAGCAUUUCCAGAGCAAGUAUAUUUUUGCUUCUUAUACCUACCUCAGGAUUUAACAUAGUGGUGUCUGGCAUAACUAGACAUGGUAAGAAUAAAUGUUUGUUGAAUGAAUGAUGUGUGAAUAUUUGAAUGAGCAUAUUAUAUGAGUUGGUAAGACUAUUCAGUUGCUGGAUGUCAAAACUAAUUAACUGAAUGUAUUUUUAUCUUUGGCUUUUUAUUAGCUUGGUUGCAAAUUCUGUGACAACAGAAUCUGUGUCUUUCAUUCUCAUCUUUACACCCCCAGUUCCAGGUACCUGGUGCCCAACAGGCAUUACUGGAUAUCUGUAGAACUUAUGAUUAAAGAAUAAAAGGAUAACAGUGUGGGAUGAAAAUAAUUCAAUCUUUGACCUUUUUUUUUGAGUAGAGACAAGCACAUUAAAUUUGAUUUUUGUUUAGCCCUAAGCAGCAUCGUAGUUCUGUAUCACUUUUAUAAGCAGCUAGACAUGGAAAAGGUAAAAGUAAGGACAGAGGAUGGAGGCAUAACCUAUUCAGAGUCAAUCAUAUGACUUUUGUCUGAAAAAUUCGUACAUAAAAAAAUGAAUGGUUUGAAACAAAAGCGAACUAUUGGAUGGAAGUAAUUUGCACAUUUAAAACCUGUCUCGCAACCAAGUGCAUCAGUUGAUUCUCUGGCAAACUAUUGCUUUGCCUUUUCUUAUCCAAUAUUUGUUUGUUUUUGAAGGAAAAAAGGUAUGUGACUGAGAGGUAAAAUAUAUGUAUUUUUUCACCAUGAAUACUUGUCUUUAUGCAUUUUGUUAAAAUUGUAGUAAUUGAUAAUAUGUAAGCCUGUUUCGUAAUGGUGAUUUUUUUGGUAUGAUAUCUACAGAUACAAAUAGUGCAUGUGUUAAGGAAACUCAUGCACAAACAAAACAGCACAUGCUGUACUCACAGCCAGUUACACAGAAUGCUCAUGCAUGCAUCUGUUGCUUAUUAAUUUUCUUCCUGCUGUUUGUAUCAUUCUUUUGAAGAAUCUCCAGCAAGCUUUGUGCUUUGCCCAAUUGUUUAUAAUGUCUAUAAAUCAGGGGCUUGGACCAAAUGAAAUGUCUUAGUAGUGUUUGCAAAAUAUUUGGAUAUUCUGAUUGCGUUUUAUUUUCCCAGCUUUAGAAAACAUAUAGAUUAGCCUCUGUUGGGAACUUAUAUUCUCGUUACUCCUUGUCUCUUUUCUUUUUUCAGGAAUUGGUCACUCUUUCAGCCAACUCGUAGGUUCAAACAAUGUUUACAUGUAGUGCUCAGUUUGUUUUAACUUCCUGCUGUAGACAUUGACAGUUUUUUCUUCCUAAGAGUCUUAUGAAUAGGCAACAAAACAAAAACAAAAACAGGCAAAGUCCCAAUCUAUUAACUACGUACUUACAAAUCAGGUGAAAGUGCUUGGUGAACAGUCUAUGUUUUAGCAACUGUUUUUUAACGUUUGGUUGUGACAUUUUUUAACAACAGCCAUUGUUCAAUUGUUAAACUAUGUUUGGAUUUGAGGUCUGAAUGAGCUGAAUUCAAAAUAUGGGACUUUUUAUUAGAAACCCUGGUAAAGUGGACACUGGGGAAAAAGCCCAAGAUUUCAUGUGUUUGAUUUAUUGACUAUGUGCGUCAACAGCCUGCUUUUAAUUCUCAGAGUAAAAUAAAAAUACUCAGAAUCUAAGUGCUGUGUUUUGGUGCAUUAUGAGUCUGUAUUUUUUGUCACAAACAUCGUAUCCAGUCCUCUCCCUUUAUUUCACAGUCAUGGUUUUAUAGAGGGAUUUGGUAGACAAAAAUUUAGGGCUAAGAGUGGGAUAGAAUAAGUUACAUGUGACAUUUAGAAGAUGCAGCGAGCAACACAAACCUUGGGGGAAAAUAUCUGUAUUUUUUUCAGAAUUUAGAGGUAGAUGGACUAAUCAUCCCAAUUUAAUACCUAGGCAGGUCUACACGAUGUGACUGCAAGUUCAAUGAUAAUCUAUAUCAAUUUUGAUUGACAUCUGUUUUAUUCAUGUGACUUAGGUUUUAAUGUAGAUACAUACCCAAAGAGUAUGUGCUUCAGGUGAAUAAGCUAUUCCAAUGAUUAAGCCACUCAGUUAAACAAGGACACUAAAUAUAUUCUAUACAACAAAAAUAUACUGAAUAAUACCAUUUGCAUUUGCAUAAAGAGUUUACAAAAUACUUUCACCUCCUUGACCCACUUUAGCAGAAGAAUAAAAAUUAAUAGAUCCAUUCUGUAGAUUAGGACUCUCAGGCUCAAUACAAUACAUUGAUUCAUAACCAACAUUAAAAAAAUUUAACAAGACCAGUUGCAAGGUGUGUAUGAAAGUUCCUUUUAUGUGUGUGUGUGUGUAUAAAUAUAUGAAGAUAUACUUAUUGCAGAAUAUGCAUAAACUUUAGUUAUCUAGCCACAUGUUAAGAAGCAGCUUUUAAAACUUGGAUUUCUGUGUUCUACCAGCAAAAUGGAAUUUGAAAAUAAUUAUUACAAGCCACCAAAGAUCCUGAUGUGCCUUCAGAAUCCUGAAAGCAGGACGCUGCUUUCUCAAGAAGACGUUCAGUGUAUUAUGCAUGAAACAUUUUCUUAUGACGAGUUAAUGGGUGCAGCACACCAACA